rnacentral:tRNA from 1 species
GUGGCGUAGUGGUUAAGAGCGAUAGACUCGUAAUCUGGUGAACCGGGUUCGAUUCCCUGCUCCU